rnacentral:pre_miRNA from 1 species
UGUUUUUUUUCUUUUUGGUUGAAUCGUCCUCUCUUGUUCUUGUUAAGGUGGGGGCACCAAUAUAUCACCAUGGUGCCAGCCAUCUCUGCGAGAAGGGGAUAGAUCGACGCGUCAAGAAAUCGUUUC